rnacentral:rRNA from 1 species
CCAACACUGGGACUGAGACACUGCCCAGACUCCUACGGGAGGCUGCAGUCGAGAAUCAUUCGCAAUGGGCGAAAGCCUGACGAAGCGACGCCGUGUGAGCGAAGAAGGCCUUAGGGUUGUAAAGCUCUUUCGCUUGGGAACAAGAUAAAAUGGCUAAUAUCCAGUUAAUUUGAAGGUACUAGGUAAAGAAGCACCGGCUAAC